CGUCUAGGUGGCCCGGCAAGUCAGAUGUGAAAUCCCUCGGCUCAACCGAGGACGUGCAUUUGAAACUGCUAGGCUUGAGUGUUGGAGGGGGCAGCGGAAUUCCCGGUGUAGAGGUGAAAUUCGUAGAUAUCGGGAGGAACACCAGUGGCGAAGGCGGCUGCCUGGCCAAACACUGACACUGAAGCGCGAAAGCGUGGGGAGCAAACA
rnacentral:rRNA from 1 species